CACCGCGGUUAGACGAGAGGCCCUAGUUGAUAAUACAACGGCGUAAAGGGUGGUUAAGGAUAAACAAAAAUACAAGCCAAAUGGCCCUUUGGCCGUCAUACGCUCCUAGGUGUCCGAGGCCCAAACACGAAAGUAGCUCUAACCCCGCCUGAACCCACGAAAGCUGAGAAA
rnacentral:rRNA from 1 species